AGGUCCCUAUCACACAGCUAAAGAUGGCCCAAACUGUACAGGUCCCUAUCACACAGCUAUAGAUGGCCCAAACUGUACAGGUCCCUAUCACACAGCUAUAGAUGGCCCAAACUGUACAUGUCCCUAUCACACAGCUAAAGAUGGCCCAAACUGUACAGGUCCCUAUCACUCAGCUAUAGAUGGCCCAAACUGUACAUGUCCCUAUCACACAGCUAUAGAUGGCCCAAACUGUACAUGUCCCUAUCACACAGCUAAAGAUGGCCCAAACUGUACAUGUCCCUAUCACACAGCUAUAGAUGGCCCAAACUGUACAUGUCCCUAUCACACAGCUAUAGAUGGCCCAAACUGUACAUGUCCCUAUCACACAGCUAUAGAUGGCCCAAACUGUACAUGUCCCUAUCACACAGCUAAAGAUGGCCCAAACUGUACAGGUCCCUAUCACACAGCUAUAGAUGGCCCAAACUGUACAUGUCCCUAUCACACAGCUAUAGAUGGCCCAAACUGUACAUGUCCCUAUCACACAGCUAUAGAUGGCCCAAACUGUACAUGUCCCUAUCAC